rnacentral:rRNA from 1 species
CCUCAACGUAAGAACGGUUGGAGGCACCUGCAGCUACCCUGUAGUUGCGGACUGCCAACUCCAGCCGCGGCCCGCCGGCGGUACACUAAACUCUGUUUUAUUUUAUAUUCUGAGCGUCUUAUUUUAAUAAGUUAAAACUUUCAACAACGGAUCUCUUGGUUCUGGCAUCGAUGAAGAACGCAGCGAAAUGCGAUAAGUAAUGUGAAUUGCAGAAUUCAGUGAAUCAUCGAAUCUUUGAACGCACAUUGCGCCCAUCAGUAUUCUGGUGGGCAUGCCUGUUCGAGCGUCAUUUCAACCCUUAAGCCUAGCUUAGUGUUGGGAAUCUGCUGUACUGCAGUUCCUUAAAGACAGUGGCGGAGCGGCGGUAGUCCUCUGAGCGUAGUAAUUUAUUUCUCGCUUUUGUCAGGCUCUGUCCUCCCGCCAUAAAACCCCCAAUUUUUUAGUGGUUGACCUCGGAUCAGGUAGGAAUACCCGCUGAACUUAAGCAUAUCAAUAAGCGGAGGAAAA